AAGAAUUGUUUUUUUUUAAGUGUAAUGGUUGCUUAUUCUAGCUAUGUAGAUGGGGACGAUUGCUUAUAUAUCUCUGAAAAGUUUUCGACUUUCUAAUUUACCUCUCUUAGAAGACUAAUAUUAAACAUAUUCAAGUUAUAUCAAAUAUACCUUUAGAGUUAAAUUCGGUUAGUAAACUGUUAGCAACAACUAUUAUCUCUGUAAAAUUAUUAUUUUGCCUUUUUAGAGAUACUCUUCUACUAUCACUAUUUUUUUUUUUAUUUGCUCUUAAGGAAGGGGCAAAAGAAGUAUUUUGAUGAUUUGUGCGCGCUGAUAGUACGUAACUAUACUUCCAUGCUUUCCAUGAAAUCAUUCAUUCUAGAACUAUUCUAGUUUGAGGAGGAGGAGAGAGAAGGCGCGCGUGAGAGAGAGAGAGAGAGAGAGAGAGAGAUUGAAAAGAAAAUUAAUUAAUA
rnacentral:lncRNA from 1 species